UACGUAGGGACCAAGCGUUGUUCGGAUUUACUGGGCGUAAAGGGCGCGUAGGCGGCAUGACAAGUCACUUGUGAAAUCUCCGGGCUUAACUCGGAACGGUCAAGUGAUACUGUCGCGCUAGAGUGCGGAAGGGGCAAUCAGAAUUCUUGGUGUAGCGGUGAAAUGCGUAGAUAUCAGGAAGAACACCCGUGGCGAAAGCGGCUCUCGUGGGGAACGGGUACUGACGCUGAGACGCGAAAGCGUGGAGAGCGAACAGG
rnacentral:rRNA from 1 species